AUUGAACGCUGGCGGCAGGCCUAACACAUGCAAGUCGAGCGAGCGGCGGACGGGUGAGUAAUGCCUGGGAAUUGCCCAGUCGAGGGGGAUAACAGUUGGAAACGACUGCUAAUACCGCAUACGAUUGGAUUGCCCAGGUGGGAUUAGCUAGUUGGUGAGGUAAUGGCUCACAAAGGCGACGCUCCCUAGCUGGUCUGAGCGGAUGACGAGCAACACGGGAACGGGGACACGGUCAAGACUCCUACGGGAGGCAGCAUUGGGGAAUAUUGGACAAUGGGGGAAGCCCGGAUGCAGCCAUGCCGCGGGGGUGAAGAAGGCCUUCGGGUGGUAAGGCACUUUCAGCGAGAAGGCGUUACUCGCAGAAGAAGCACCGGCUAACUCCGUGCCAGCAGCCGCGGUAAUAC
rnacentral:rRNA from 1 species